rnacentral:rRNA from 1 species
GAUGAACGCUGGCGGCGUGCCUAAUACAUGCAAGUCGAGCGAACGGACGAGAAGCUUGCUUUUCUGAUGUUAGCGGCGGACGGGUGAGUAACACGUGGAUAACCUACCUAUAAGACUGGGAUAACUUCGGGAAACCGGAGCUAAUACCGGAUAAUAUUUUGAACCGCAUGGUUCAAAAGUGAAAGACGGUCUUGCUGUCACUUAUAGAUGGAUCCGCGCUGCAUUAGCUAGUUGGUAAGGUAACGGCUUACCAAGGCAACGAUGCAUAGCCGACCUGAGAGGGUGAUCGGCCACACUGGAACUGAGACACGGUCCAGACUCCUACGGGAGGCAGCAGUAGGGAAUCUUCCGCAAUGGGCGAAAGCCUGACGGAGCAACGCCGCGUGAGUGAUGAAGGUCUUCGGAUCGUAAAACUCUGUUAUUAGGGAAGAACAUAUGUGUAAGUAACUGUGCACAUCUUGACGGUACCUAAUCAGAAAGCCACGGCUAACUACGUGCCAGCAGCCGCGGUAAUACGUAGGUGGCAAGCGUUAUCCGGAAUUAUUGGGCGUAAAGCGCGCGUAGGCGGUUUUUUAAGUCUGAUGUGAAAGCCCACGGCUCAACCGUGGAGGGUCAUUGGAAACUGGAAAACUUGAGUGCAGAAGAGGAAAGUGGAAUUCCAUGUGUAGCGGUGAAAUGCGCAGAGAUGUGGAGGAACACCAGUGGCGAAGGCGACUUUCUGGUCUGUAACUGACGCUGAUGUGCGAAAGCGUGGGGAUCAAACAGGAUUAGAUACCCUGGUAGUCCACGCCGUAAACGAUGAGUGCUAAGUGUUAGGGGGUUUCCGCCCCUUAGUGCUGCAGCUAACGCAUUAAGCACUCCGCCUGGGGAGUACGACCGCAAGGUUGAAACUCAAAGGAAUUGACGGGGGCCCGCACAAGCGGUGGAGCAUGUGGUUUAAUUCGAAGCAACGCGAAGAACCUUACCAAAUCUUGACAUCCUUUGACAACUCUAGAGAUAGAGCCUUCCCCUUCGGGGGACAAAGUGACAGGUGGUGCAUGGUUGUCGUCAGCUCGUGUCGUGAGAUGUUGGGUUAAGUCCCGCAACGAGCGCAACCCUUAAGCUUAGUUGCCAUCAUUAAGUUGGGCACUCUAAGUUGACUGCCGGUGACAAACCGGAGGAAGGUGGGGAUGACGUCAAAUCAUCAUGCCCCUUAUGAUUUGGGCUACACACGUGCUACAAUGGACAAUACAAAGGGCAGCGAAACCGCGAGGUCAAGCAAAUCCCAUAAAGUUGUUCUCAGUUCGGAUUGUAGUCUGCAACUCGACUACAUGAAGCUGGAACCGCUAGUAAUCGUAGAUCAGCAUGCUACGGUGAAUACGUUCCCGGGUCU